GACGAACGCUGGCGGCGUGCUUAACACAUGCAAGUCGAACGGAAAGGCCCUGCUUUUGUGGGGUGCUCGAGUGGCGAACGGGUGAGUAACACGUGAGUAACCUGCCCUUGACUUUGGGAUAACUUCAGGAAACUGGGGCUAAUACCGGAUAGGAGCUCCUGCUGCAUGGUGGGGGUUGGAAAGUUUCGGCGGUUGGGGAUGGACUCGCGGCUUAUCAGCUUGUUGGUGGGGUAGUGGCUUACCAAGGCUUUGACGGGUAGCCGGCCUGAGAGGGUGACCGGCCACAUUGGGACUGAGAUACGGCCCAGACUCCUACGGGAGGCAGAAGUGGGGAAUAUUGCACAAUGGGCGGAAGCCUGAUGCAGCAACGCCGCGUGCGGGAUGACGGCCUUCGGGUUGGAAACCGCUUUCGCCUGUGACGAAGCGUGAGUGACGGUAAUGGGUAAAGAAGCACCGGCUAACUACGUG
rnacentral:rRNA from 1 species